rnacentral:rRNA from 1 species
AUUGAACGCUGGCGGCAGGCCUAACACAUGCAAGUCGAGCGGAGCGGCGGAAGGGUGAGUAAUGCCUAGGAAUCAGCCUGGUAGUGGGGGAUAACGUCCGGAAACGGGCGCUAAUACCGCAUACUAUCAGAUGAGCCUAGGUCUGCUUAGCUGGUUGGUGGGGUAAGGGCCUACCAAGGCGACGAUCCGUAACUGGUCUGAGGGGAUGAUCAGUCACACUGGAGCUGAGACACGGUCCAGACUCCUACGGGAGGCAGCAGUGGGGAAUAUUGGACAAUUGGCGAAAGCCUGAUCCAGCCAUGCCGCGUGUGUGAAGAAGGUCUUCGGAUUGUAAAGCACUUUAAGUUGGGAGGCGUUACCAACAGAAUAAGCACCGGCUAACUUCGUGCCAGCCGCCGCGGUAAUUC